rnacentral:rRNA from 1 species
GAUGAACGCUCGCGGCAGGCCUAAUACAUGCAAGUCGAACGGGUGGUCGCAAGACCCCUAGUGGCGCACGGGUGCGUAACGCGUAACCAACCUGCCCCGAUCUGGGGGAUAGCCCGCCGAAAGGCGGAUUAAUACCGCAUAUACCCGCAGCCUGGCAUCAGGCAACGGGGAAAGAUUUAUUGGAUCGGGAUGGGGUUGCGUGACAUUAGCUAGUUGGCGGGGUAAGGGCCCACCAAGGCGACGAUGUCUAGGGGACCUGAGAGGGUGAUCCCCCACACUGGCACUGAGAUACGGGCCAGACUCCUACGGGAGGCAGCAGUAGGGAAUAUUGGGCAAUGGGCGAGAGCCUGACCCAGCCAUGCCGCGUGCCGGAUGAAGGCCUUCUGGGUUGUAAACGGCUUUUCUCAGGGAAGAAAAAGACCUUGCGAGGUACACUGACGGUACCUGAGGAAUAAGCACCGGCUAACUCCGUG